CAGGCUUCUUUAACUAAAAGGGAAGGGGUGUUUACCUGGCUGUUGUGAACUUCUUGCUGCUGAAAUCCUUUGUUCCUCAACUGUCCUCCUAGGUAUGGUCACAAUGUUCCUACAAACCUUCAACAAGGCAAAUGUUAUUCUCUGUUCUGCAACUUCUUAUCUCUAUAUGAGGGGGAAAGUGUUAUACCUUAAAAGAUCGGAGCGUUGAGAUGGCUAUCCAGUAUCUCUUGGCUAUAGGCAACAUUCUUUUAGUGAUUAACUUGUAGGCAAAAGCAAUAGGAUACCAAUGUUAAAGGAAAAGAAACAGAUCCAAUAUGGAGUCAGAUUUGUUCUGUAUUACAGUGGGGGUACUCUUAGCCCCUUUGCCUUUGAGAUCUCCCCUAUCCCUGGGUGCCUCGGGCAACUGUUGAUGAGAACCAAGUGAGGUUGUUGGUGAACUCAUUUCUGAUUGUUUAUAUGAAAACAAAUACAAAGGGAAUUUGUGUUCUGGUCCUCUUGCACCCCCUUCUCUGGGGCAUCACCGUCCUAGACUCCGAAGUCAUUGUGGUUCCUGCCAUUUUUCUACCUUGACGUCUGAUGGCAGAAUGAAUGAGACCCUUUAGUGUCCUGGACUUUGUUUUCUAUAACUUGCCUUCCUCUACUAGCCACAUCAACAUGUUACAAAUUGCUUUUACAUAUUUCUUUCAUUUGAACUCUCUUCCCAACCCAGGGAUCGAACCCAGGUCUCCUGCAUUGCAGGUGGAUUCUUUACCGUCUGAGCCACCAAGGAAGCCCUUUCAUUUGAACUCAGUACCUCUGGAAAGCAGGUGGUGUGUCCUUGGACAGAUGGGUUUAUUGAGGGCAGAUGCCGAGACUCUGUAACAACACAGAACCAAGAAGGUCAUCUAACCCUUACAGUCCUCAGCGGAGUCCAGCCGUGAAUCUGUUCCAUUUCUAAUUCCUCAACUGGGUUUUCUUAAUUGCACUGAGGUAUUUUUCUUACCCUGAUCACAAUGUUUGCCUUAAAUCUCAUAAAGUUCAGUGUGUUCCUGCU
rnacentral:lncRNA from 1 species